CGGACGGGUGAGUAAUGUCUGGGAAACUGCCCGAUGGAGGGGGAGUAAUACUGAAACGGUAGCUAAUACCGCAUAACGUCGCAAGACCAAAGAGGGGGACCUUCGGGCCUCUUGCCAUCGGAUGUGCCCAGAUGGGAUUAGCUAGUAGGUGGGGUAACGGCUCACCUAGGCGACGAUCCCUAGCUGGUCUGAGAGGAUGACCAGCCACACUGGAACUGAGACACGGUCCAG
rnacentral:rRNA from 1 species